UACGUAGGGUGCAAGCGUUGUCCGGAAUUAUUGGGCGUAAAGAGCUCGUAGGCGGUCUGUCGCGUCGGCUGUGAAAUCCCGAGGCUCAACCUCGGGUCUGCAGUCGAUACGGGCAAACUUGAGUGUUGCAGGGGAGACUGGAAUUCCUGGUGUAGCGGUGAAAUGCGCAGAUAUCAGGAGGAACACCGGUGGCGAAGGCGGGCUCGUGGGCAUUACCUGACGCUGAGGAGCGAAAGUGUGGGGAGCGAACGGG
rnacentral:rRNA from 1 species